rnacentral:tRNA from 1 species
GGUGAUGUAGCUCAGCUGGUUAGAGCACAGCAUUCAUAAUGCUGGGGUCGAGGGUUCAAGUCCCUCUUUCACCACCA